GGUUAAGCGACUAAGCGUACACGGUGGAUGCCCUGGCAGUCAGAGGCGAUGAAGGACGUGCUAAUCUGCGAAAAGCGUCGGUAAGGUGAUAUGAACCGUUAUAGCCGGCGAUGUCCGAAUGGGGAAACCCAGUGCAAUUCGUUGCACUAUCGUUAACUGAAUACAUAGGUUAACGAGGCGAACCGGGGGAACUGAAACAUCUAAGUACCCCGAGGAAAAGAAAUCAACCGAGAUUCCCCCAGUAGCGGCGAGCGAACGGGGAGCAGCCCGGAGUCUGAAUCAGCUUGUGUGUUAGUGGAAGCGUCUGGAAAGUCGCAGGGUACAGGGUGAUACUCCCGUACACUAAAACACACAGGCUGUGAACUCGAAGAGUAGGGCGGGACACGUGGUAUCCUGUCUGAAUAUGGGGGGACCAUCCUCCAAGGCUAAAUACUCCUGACUGACCGAUAGUGAACCAGUACCGUGAGGGAAAGGCGAAAAGAACCCCGGCGAGGGGAGUGAAAAAGAACCUGAAACCGUGUACGUACAAGCAGUAGGAGCCCACUUGUUGGGUGACUGCGUACCUUUUGUAUAAUGGGUCAGCGACUUAUAUUCUGUAGCAAGGUUAACCGUAUAGGGGAGCCGCAGGGAAACCGAGUCUUAACUGGGCGUUAAGUUGCAGGGUAUAGACCCGAAACCCGGUGAUCUAGCCAUGGGCAGGUUGAAGGUUGGGUAACACUAACUGGAGGACCGAACCGACUAAUGUUGAAAAAUUAGCGGAUGACUUGUGGCUGGGGGUGAAAGGCCAAUCAAACCGGGAGAUAGCUGGUUCUCCCCGAAAGCUAUUUAGGUAGCGCCUCGUGAA
rnacentral:rRNA from 1 species